UACGGGGGGGAGCAAGCGUUGUUCGGAUUUACUGGGCGUAAAGGGCGCGUAGGCGGCCAGCACAAGUCAGUUGUGAAAUCUCCGAGCUUAACUCGGAAAGGUCAACUGAUACUGCUCGGCUAGAGUGCGGAAGGGGCAACUGGAAUUCUUGGUGUAGCGGUGAAAUGCGCAGAUAUCAGGAGGAACACCGGUGGCGAAGGCGGGUCUCUGGGCCGAUACUGACGCUGAGGAGCGAAAGCGUGGGGAGCAAACGGG
rnacentral:rRNA from 1 species